rnacentral:rRNA from 1 species
UACAGAGGUGGCAAGCGUUGCUCGGUAUCACUGGGCUUAAAGGGCGCGUAGGCGGUGCGGUACGGUUUCGGUGAAAUCCCUCGGCCCAACCGAGGAACAGCCGGGGCUACGGCCGCGCUAGACGGCAUCAGGGGACAGUGGAACUUCCGGUGGAGCGGUGAAAUGCGUAGAUAUCGGAAGGAACGCCGGUGGCGAAAGCGACUGUCUGGGGUGCCUGUGACGCUGAGGCGCGAAAGCCAGGGGAUCAAACGGGG